AAGUGAGAUCUCAAAGUCGUGAUGGAACUUCCCAUUAUUCUUUCCAAGAGCAAAGCAGAGGUGAAAGUCCAGAAGCUGCCGCAAAACUUGAUUCUCAUCUUGUUGCUGCUUUAGGGAUCCACUGGGCUCAUGCUGUUAGUAUUCGUCUUAUAUUUGAAUCAAGAUCAGGUCAAAGGUUCAUAAAAUUAGCAAAAUCUCCGGUGUCUCCGCCUCUUGCAUUCCCUUUCAACAUAACUUCUUCUGGGAUUUCAUUGCUCAAUGAUGAUGGAGUGGAAAUGCCAGGGCCA
rnacentral:misc_RNA from 1 species